rnacentral:rRNA from 1 species
UACGUAGGGGGCAAGCGUUGUCCGGAUUUAUUGGGCGUAAAGAGCGUGUAGGCGGCCAUGUAGGUCCGUUGUGAAAACUCGAGGCUCAACCUCGAGACGUCGGCGGAAACCAUCUGGCUAGAGUCCGGAAGAGGAGAGUGGAAUUCCUGGUGUAGCGGUGAAAUGCGCAGAUAUCAGGAAGAACACACGUGGCGAAGGCGGCUCUCUGGGACGGUACUGACGCUGAGACGCGAAAGCGUGGGGAGCGAACAGG